UACGGAGGGAGCUAGCGUUGUUCGGAAUUACUGGGCGUAAAGCGCACGUAGGCGGCUUUGUAAGUUAGAGGUGAAAGCCUGGAGCUCAACUCCAGAAUUGCCUUUAAGACUGCAUCGCUUGAAUCCAGGAGAGGUGAGUGGAAUUCCGAGUUGUAGAGGUGAAAUUCGUAGAUAUUCGGAAGAACACCAGUGGCGAAGGCGGCUCACUGGAGCUGGUAUUGACGCUGAGGUGGCGAAAGCGUGGGGAGCAAACAGGAU
rnacentral:rRNA from 1 species